UACAGAGGGUGCAAGCGUUAAUCGGAAUUACUGGGCGUAAAGUGUGCGCAGGCGGCCUUAAAAGUCAGAUGUGAAAUCCCCGAGCUCAACUUGGGAACUGCGUUUGAAACUCUAAGGCUAGAAUAUGUCAGAGGGGGGUAGAAUUCCACGUGUAGCAGUGAAAUGCGUAGAGAUGUGGAGGAAUACCAAUGGCGAAGGCAGCCCCCUGGGAUAAUAUUGACGCUCAUGCACGAAAGCGUGGGGAGCAAACAGG
rnacentral:rRNA from 1 species